AACGAACGCUGGCGGCAUGCCUAACACAUGCAAGUCGAACGAGACCUUCGGGUCUAGUGGCGCACGGGUGCGUAACGCGUAGGAACCUGCCCUUAGGUUCGGAAUAACUCCCCGAAAGGGGUGCUAAUACCGGAUAAUGUCUUCGGACCAAAGAUUUAUCGCCCUUGGAUGGGCCCGCGUUGGAUUAGCUAGUUGGUAGGGUAAAAGCCUACCAAGGCGACGAUCCAUAGCUGGUCUGAGAGGAGGAUCAGGCACACUGGGACUGAGACACGGCCCAGACUCCUACGGGAGGCAGCAGUGGGGAAUAUUGGACAAUGGGCGAAAGCCUGAUCCAGCAAUGCCGCGUGAGUGAUGAAGGCCUUAGGGUUGUAAAGCUCUUUUACCCGGGAUGAUAAUGACAGUACCGGGAGAAUAAGCUCCGGCUAACUCCGUG
rnacentral:rRNA from 1 species